rnacentral:tRNA from 5 species
UCCCUGAUAGCUCAGCUGGUAGAGCAAAUGACUGUUAAUCAUUGGGUCGCAGGUUCGAGCCCUGCUCAGGGAGCCA